CCCGGCUGCUGUAGUUCCAGCAGCAAGAAGCCACUGGGAGGAGGGGGGGCCCCCAUCUGAUCCCCCCUCAAGUUCACCAAGUUAAGUCACUGUGGUUCUGAGGCCACAGCUUGGGGAAGAAAAGCGAAAGCCUGUCGUAAAUUCUGCAAAAAUUAAUCAACCGUUUAAGAGCUGCACGUUAACGAGGUUCUGCAGGCAAGCUGGGCCCUUCUGUUCCCCUGUCCAAAGUCCCACAGAGUGAGGGGUGGCCCCCACUCCGAGCAGGGAAGGGGCGGUGGUGGUUGUUGUUGUUGUUGUUGUUUUUAAUCACAAUCAUUGAGGACAGCUAGGGAGAGGGCAGUGGGAGAUGGAUUCAUUGAAUAUAAAUCCUCAGGUGCCCUUGUUCCAUGUUGCUGGAUUUUUUUCCCCCUUUUGGUCUGGAUCUGUCCUGCGUGUCUUUGGUGGAAAAGACAUGUAGUGAAAGAGAGCAAAGGGGUGGGGGUAAGGAGAGAGAAGGAGAGAGAGAGAGAGAGAGACACGCGUAGCUCCUUCGGAACUCAUUAUCAUUCUUAAUAAGUCUUAAGGAAUAAAGAAGAGCACUGAGUGUAAAUGCUGGGUAAUCCUAACACUUCUCAAGGUGAGAGGAAUCUUGAGGACACAGAGAAAAGAGAGAGCAGAGGAGGGGGGUGUGUGGGUCCAGAGGCCCUGGGGAGUGGAGGCCCAGGGUUUGGGAGGCUCUGUGGGAGGCGUGGAGGUUGGGGUGGGGAAGCCCAAGAUGUCCCAGGUGGGAUGGGUUAUCUGCUGACACACAGGAGGUCUCCGAGACAGGGUGACUUGCUAACGUCAAAGCAAGGUGAUGGCACAGCACUGGGGUGUGGCCAGGGGCCACAAGGCCUUUGCUUCCUCCUGGGUACGGUAUCCCCAGCCUCUUGGCCUCAGGCUCCUGGGAAAGACCAGGGUGGCAGGUGGAGGGGGCUUGUCCUGCUCCAAGCCUCCCCUUGCUGUCCCCUCCAAUUCCCCUGCAGUGACUGCUCUGAGAAUCCCGAGGGCCCAGGCGGCGGCCAGAGCUCAGCUCUGGACACUAGGUGGCUUAGAGGAUCUGCGAGGUUCUCAGCAGCAGCGACAGCGGGCUUCCCUCUCCGCCCUGCUGGUGGGCUCCACGGUGCGUCUGCAUCUGCUCUGCCGCCUCAGCGGGCAUCCCUGGCGGGCAAGCAGGGCCUGGCUCCCAGGCAAAGUGAUGAUGAGGCCGGCAGCAGCUUCCAAGGGGGAGGACAGCCAGCUGGGAACACUCACAGCAGAGACCAGGGUAAUGGCCAAAUUGCAUGCCCUGCGUGUGCCUUGCUGAUGAGAUUUACUGAAAGGAAGCAGCGCUGCCUCUCUGCUGCUGGUGUCUGGAUCCAGAGAUCUGGGGGUCCAAGUCAUGUGACCUUGCGUCAGUUACUUACUAGGCUGUGGCUCGGUGUUUCUCAUCUGUGAAACGGGAAGCACUUGGUCUCUACAUAUCCGGGGAGCCAGGACUGCCUUAGGCACACAGACCUCACUGACUGAAGGCAAAGACACUUCCAUCCCACCUGCCCUUCCAGCUGCCCCGGCCACGGAUCCCUCCUUCACAAGGGAGUCUUGCAGCUCCCCAGUGCCACACAUUGGAAUGGACUUCGGACCCUGGCCUCUUGGGAUGCAAAGGGACAUGUUGAGUCUCUACAAUCCUGUCAUGGACACCUGUCUUGCCAGCCACAGACUGGGCCUAUGUCUACCUGGCACCAAAGGGGACGGGGUCGGUGCUCUUCUGUUCUCCACUGUACCAGCAUCUUGCGACUGAGGCUUUC
rnacentral:lncRNA from 1 species